rnacentral:hammerhead_ribozyme from 1 species
AUCCAACUGACGAGUCCAAAAUAGGACGAAACGCGCGUCCUCCAU